UCUUUACUGAACUGAAAUCCUCUGAUCAUGGCAGCGCUGCCAGCAAAGUCAUUUCAGUUCUCUGGGUACCGGUCUGGUGGGCUUCCUUGACAGUCCAUUUCUGGGUAUUCUGCAUCAAGCUGAUGCCUUAUCCAUGCUGACUGAUGGUCCUUCCUUGCACUGGAAAGUGGAAGAGUGCCUGGCAACGGUGACCCAUGUGCUGGUAACUUCCUAACUGGACUUCUGUGACGCACGCUACGUGGGACUGCCCUUGAAGACGGUCCAGAUACUUCAGUUGGUUCAGAGCUACCAGGUUGUUAACAGGGACUGGCAGCCUCACUGGUUUCACUGUGACGAUUUUGGAGGAAGUGGUAGAAGGAAUGCAACUUUGCAGCCAAACAAGGCAUGACAUCAAGUUAAGGGCUCUUUUCCUCCUGAUGGUUCAAAUAAAAAACAGGAAGAGGCCGGGAGAAGAAGAGCAGUGCCAGGGUAGGGAUAACGUGCUUAAUCGCUCCCUCUCUGGAUGUUUCCUUAGAAUCACCGCUCCUGUUGAUUUUCACCAUGCAUCUUUCAAUGAUUCAACACAUCUUUGUAUGAGCAGCUGGUAUGGAAGCUCAAUUGGUAAUGCAUUGCACACUAAGUGACACAGAAUGGUUCGUGCGUCUUAUUUAUUUUUUCUGGACCAGGGUGGGCAGACUUCAGGCUUGUACACUGUCAUCAUCACCACCACCCCCUCUACUGUCAUGAAAACCAAGAUCUCCCAAAAGAAGCAUGGUGGAAAAGACACGCUCCUCGAAGGAAAGAAUUCUGAGCCCAGAAUUGGGAUGCAUUUUACAAGCUUUCUACAAGAAUCCAAUCUGGGUUGAUCUGGGGGCAGGGUAAGCUUGGUAUUGCUAUUGUUAAGCAGAAUGUGGAGGGGGAGCAGAAUUGGUGCAAGGCUGCCAAAAUGUUCACCAGAUAGUUUUCAGGUGAAAAAAAGAUACAGAACAGCAGAAGAAUACUGCUGGAUGAGACUUCAAGUGCAUCAAGCUGAGCAUUCUGUUCACACAAUGAUCCACCAACAGCCAAUGGGAAACAGAGUUGGAGGAGGGAAUGUAAUCAUCUCACAAGAACUUAAUUUGCAUUGUUAAACCAAUAUGUGACUCAAACUCAGUUAUCCUCUCAAUGCACCCUUUUCCAAAUUUUUAAAUGGCGGUUUCUGAUUAAAAAUGCACACACAAAUG